GAUGAACGCUGGCGGCGUGCCUAACACAUGCAAGUCGAGCGAACGCACGAUAAGCUUGUUUCUUUGAUGUUAGCGGCGGACGGGCGAGUAACACGUGGAUCACAUACUUAUAAUACUUGGAUGACUACGGGGAACCGGAGCUACUACUGCAUAAUAUUUUGAACCGCAUGGUUCAAAAGUGAUAGACGGCCUUGCUGUCACUUAUAGAUGGUUCCGCGCUGCAUUAGCUAGUUGGUAAGGUAACGGCUUACCAAGGCGACGAUGCAUAGCCGACCUGAGAGGGUGAUCGGCCACACUGGAACUGAGACACGGUCCAGACUCCUACGGGAGGCAGCAGUAGGGAAUCUUCCGCAAUGGGCGAAAGCCUGACGCAGCCACGCCGCGUGGGUGAUGAAGGUCUUCGGGUCGUAAAGCUCUGUUGUUGGGGAAGAACAGAUGUGGAAGUAACUGUGGAUGUUUUGACGGUACCUAAUCAGAAAGCAACGGCUAACUACGUG
rnacentral:rRNA from 1 species